UCAGAUUGCAGUCUGCAACUCGACUGCAUGAAGUCGGAAUCGCUAGUAAUCGCGGAUCAGCAUGCCGCGGUGAAUACGUUCCCGGGCCUUGUACACACCGCCCGUCACACCAUGAGAGUCGGGAACACCCGAAGUCCGUAGCCUAACCGCAAGGAGGGCGCGGCCGAAGGUGGGUUCGAUAAUUGGGUGAAGUCGUAACAAGGUACC
rnacentral:rRNA from 1 species